rnacentral:snRNA from 1 species
GUGUUAGAUUACAUAUAUCUGGA